UGGCCACCAGCUCCCAUCACGACGCUACCUAGGGGCCCCAGCUAUAGUCGACUCAUUAGCAUGUGGAAGAUACUCAUCACUCCGGAAGGGUUUUAGGAGCUCUAUGUCAGGAACCAGGAACAAAGACCAAAUAUUUGUUUUUUAUUACAUCACAAUGCCACAUCCACAGAUCUUCUUUCCCUGACACAGAGAUUUGCUGGCUAAGCUAUUCAAUUUCAUCUAUUCUUGCAGACUUCGUUGUCUCAUUGUUAUGACAAACUGGAGCCAAAUUUAAAAAAUGUUUAAACCACAUUUAGAAGGUAGGAAGCUGGACUCCAUGGUGAACAGCAUUAACAAGUACCACAAGUUUCGAGUGACAGAAGCAUAUCAGCUAUGGAAGCAGAUGGAACAAAAUAAUGUUAAAGGGCCU
rnacentral:lncRNA from 1 species